rnacentral:rRNA from 1 species
GAUGAACGCUAGCUACAGGCUUAACACAUGCAAGUCGAGGGGCAGCAUGAUUGAAGCUUGCUUCAAUCGAUGGCGACCGGCGCACGGGUGAGUAACACGUAUCCAACCUGCCGAUAACUCGGGGAUAGCCUUUCGAAAGAAAGAUUAAUACCCGAUAGUAUAGUAUUUCCGCAUGGUUUCACUAUUAAAGAACUUCGGUUAUCGAUGGGGAUGCGUUCCAUUAGAUAGUUGGCGGGGUAACGGCCCACCAAGUCAACGAUGGAUAGGGGUUCUGAGAGGAAGGUCCCCCACAUUGGAACUGAGACACGGUCCAAACUCCUACGGGAGGCAGCAGUGAGGAAUAUUGGUCAAUGGACGAGAGUCUGAACCAGCCAAGUAGCGUGAAGGAUGACUGCCCUAUGGGUUGUAAACUUCUUUUAGACGGGAAUAAAGUGGAGUAUGCAUACUCCUUUGUAUGUACCGUAUGAAUAAGAAUCGGCUAACUCCGUG